rnacentral:rRNA from 1 species
AGCAGCCGCGGUAAUUCCAGCUCCAAUAGCGUAUAUUAAAGUUGUUGCAGUUAAAAAGCUCGUAGUUGAAUUUCGGGAUUGACGUGAUGGUCAUGCCUUAAGGGGUAUGAACUGUCACAGUUGAUUUCUCACCUUCUGGAGAAACUUGAUGUCCUUUAUUGGGUGUCUUGCGGAUCCAGGACCUUUACCUUGAAAAAAUUAGAGUGUUUAAAGCAGGCAUUUUUGCUCGAAUACAUUAGCAUGGAAUAAUAGAAUAGGACGGCAUGGUUCUAUUUUGUUGGUUUCUAGGAUCACCGUAAUGGUUAAUAGGGAUAGUUGGGGGCAUUAGUAUUCAAUUGUCAGAGGUGAAAUUCUUGGAUUUAUUGAAGACUAACUACUGCGAAAGCAUUUGCCAAGGAUGUUUUCAUUAAUCAAGAACGAAAGUUAGGGGAUCGAAGACGAUCAGAUACCGUCGUAGUCUUAACCAUAAACUAUGCCGACUAGGAAUCAGACGAUGUUAAUUUUUAAUGUACUCGUUUGG